UCUGACUGCAGUCCAAGUGCAGACAAGGCAUCUGUAUCUGAGCAGGCAAUGCUCUCUUUUGCUUGGCCUUAGGUUUCUGAAAAAUAAAAUGUUAUUUGCAAAAUGGGGGAGGAGUAGAAUCUAUCAUUAUAGAGUUGUUCUGAUCCCAGACUGAAAGCAUACCUAACAAAUGAAGCGACUGGGUGUGAUUUAAUGUAAUGCCAGCAGCAAAAACACAACUCUAAAUUAUUUUUUUCCCAACCUGCUCUCUGAGGCUCAAAUUGCUGUUUUGCUGUCUGCAUCUUUAAUGAUGGUUGAUACAUCCCCUGGGAAGAAAAUACUGAUUUCCUCUAUCUUGAUUUAGUGGAUGGGCUGAUUUUAUAUAUGUUUGUGCGUGUGAAUGUGUGUAUUUGUGUGUGUGUGUGUGUGUGUGUGUGUGUGUAGCAGUCACCAAAGUCAAUAAAGGUAAGAUGGAAAGAGGAUGGAAAAGGAUAAUUGGGGUUCGAUGUGCCUUAAGUGGCAAAUAAUUUCCAUAUAUAAACAAUUCUCUCAUCUCAGUUAUUAUGUAAUCUGCUUUGGACUUAAUAAAAAAUCCUAGUACUUACGGCAGGAUUUUUUGGUUUUUGGUUUUGUUUUGUUUUUUAAGAUCAGAGCAGUUCUAUGUUUUUUUGCAGUAAUUUAAAAGGAAAAGUUUUUGAUAAGACAACAUGACACCUUAAACUAGAGAAGGCAAUAAAUGUAACCAAAAUGUUUGCCAAUUAAACCCAGGGUAGCAUCCUGAGACUUUAAAUAGAAAUCUAAUGCUUAAUCCUUCAAUUCACAGAUGAGUCACCUGACCAAUCAAGGUCACAAGACUGGGAAAAGCAAGAGUUGAAGGUCAAGAAAGUUUUCCAAGGGAAAAGAUAGAAGCUGAGAAAUGAAGAAUAGAACUUAAAACAGAGGAGAAAGGCCUACUCUACUCCCUUCUUGCGCAGAAAUAUAGAGAUAGCAAAUACCAUGGAUUGCUCAUCAAUGAAGAUAGAGGGCAUUGCUCAUCAAACCCAUGGGCAAGAAAAGCUUUUAGGAAGAGAAAGUAUGUUUUACAACAGAAUUCUCCACCAAACAACUACCAGAGGUUGGAUCAAAUCUUAACAUAAAAUUUAGUAGGAAUAAAAGUAUAGCCCUACAAGUGGGUUCUAAAAGAUAUAUAUUUUUUUUUAAUUUUAAACACUUUAAAAAAAAUUUUUUAAGACUUUUUUUUUUAUUUUAAACACAGGGGUGAGUUAGACAUAGAUCAACUGUAACACAUUCUAGGAAGUGAUAAACGUUACUGCAUCAAUAGGUAGAGAACCUUCUGAGGCUGAAGAAAAUAUGCAUCUUACUCUUUCUCCUUUGCCCUAAUCAGCUCUUUCUUGGAAUGAUGUGCUGUGUUCAGUUUCUCAAGAGACAAGCUGAAGAGAUCAAGAGAAACUGGAGCAAAUCAGAAAAAAGUGACUGGGACUGUUGCAAAUUUGAAGCAGGAACUAAAAUAAACCUGCUGGUGGUAUUGCUCUAAGCAUGUACACACAGAAUAUCUCAGCCAAGCAUUUUAUUUUAGGUGUGGCAAACAGGUUUCACCUUGUUGCAAGACAAGUAUGGUCAAUUGGUUGUAACUUCCCAGAGUGAUGUGAUGAGGGUGCUGAGACUUAUAAGCAAACUCAGCCAAGAAAUCAAUUAGCAGUGACUGCUGCAGCCACAGGGGCAGGGGUGGCAGUACUUAUCUAGGUGUUGGCCUUUCUUGACUGAGAAGCAACAUCCCUUGACUAGCAGAAAUUCAGUUCUGAGUCUUGGGCUCAUCUUCACCUCAGCCACACAGUGGCCUCUCCAUAAGAACUCUGGUAAAUCCUUCUGGAAAGUAUCCAGGCCAAAAUGAGACCCUAAUGAGCAUCAGUGAAGAUGCAGGCGAAUAUUAAACUCUCCUGCUCUUCUCCAGUACACUUCAAAUGAAUUAGAAGAAGCAUGUCUGAGCUGGUGCCACAUGUAAAUUGCCUUUUUGCAGACAAAAGGGACUGAAUUCUAACAAUCUUUCUGGUACCUGCAAAUGCACCCAGAGAAAUAUAGUUUUAAAAGAUAAAGAAUGUAACCCCUUGAAUAAGAUAGGUAAAAGAAGAUCAGUCCUUUGGUAGUCCCUACAAUGCAUGACCCCCCUUCUUUAAGGCACUUUCUCCCCAAGCUCUGACUCACAUUCAUCCACAAAGUCCAAAUGGACUCAUCUAGAUGAUCCACUGGAAGAAUCACCACGAAAUGGUGCUGUGACUAGUGGGGUCUCUUAGGGGAGCUGAUGUUAGGAAAACCUAAGCUCUUGCUCUCUUUAUCACAAUUUGGUCUGUUUGGCAUGGUAGAAUGAGUCAGAAAAUAAGAUCUGAAUCCAGUUUUGCCAGAUAAAAUAUUAGACAAAUUAUUUAAUCCUAUUAGAAACUGAAACCCAGAGAGAUUAAUAUCAUUCAUAUUACCAAGUUGUUUUAGGGAUUAAAUGAUUAAUCUCUUUCAAUUACUUCUGCUUGGUUUAAAAAAAAUAGAUGAUCAUUGCAAAAAAAUCAUCAGAAAACAGAAAGAUAUAAAAAAGAGAGAAAUAAAUUGCUUCUAACUCUACAACUUAGAAAUAACUACAAUGACUAUUUAUUCCUUUCAGAAUAGAAGCACUUAGUACACACACACACACACACACACACACACAUAUACAAUAAAGAGUAAUAAGCCUUUCUUUUGACCUCAGAGCCCAGGGUUAGCCAGACCUCAAAGUUACUAAAUGGCAACAAAUGUAAACAGUUUCUUAUUUAGCCUUCCAAAAUUUUACCAGGCAAGUAUAAGCAUUAUACAUAAGCUUACAUAUUUUAUCCAUGAUUUAAAUGUAUUUUCAACCACAUUUUAACAUUUGCAAAUGUACCACGUAACAGUGAGGUAAUAUUUUUAUUGAUGAGCCCUACUUCUAACAAGACAUAGGGACUGGAAGACGUUAUUGCCUCCAGAAUCCUUAUUAUGCUACCAGCAACUACAGAGGGUUCUCGAGUGGUAUAUGCCCAAAUGGAUGCUCAUUAUUAUUAGAUAACCCUUGGCCCCAAAUCACUAGCUAGUAUUCUAUUUAUUUAGCUUAGUGUGUAUUGUGUCACAUGCUGUAUAUUCUAGGGCAGCCAAAGCAGCCUUCUCCUUGCUUUCUCUUCUCCAGAAUCACACACUGGUGUGGCCUUCCUGGAUCUCAGCACUUAGGUAUUGAAAGGUAUACACAAAAUGAAUCUAAAUAAGAAAGUCAAGAAACAGAUGGGCCUAAGAGGACCAUUCCCUCUCCAGUUCUACAAGAGAAAAUGCUAAACUAUCCAACUACAGGAAAGUUAUGAAAGAGUAAAAACAGUCAUAUUCAUGUUUUGGAUAAAACCUUUUUGUUUCUCCACUUUAAGAUUUUUAUCCUGAACUUCAUGUUCAAUCAUGUGUCCCUAAGAACUCCUUUUUAUUCCCUUACUUGCAUAUCUUUGAAUGGAGGGGGGGAGUGAUGUCUUGAGCUCCCUCUAGAUGUUAACCAGGGUGACAACUUACUUUUGUUAUCUUUUCCAAUCCUGAUGCUCUUUUUACAACCCAUUCAGUCCCCAGAUGAAUAAGAAUAAAGUCAUACUGUCUGGCUGUCAAACAGAAUCAAUUAACCAAUGAAGUUACAAUCAUCCACAAGGGGCUACCUAGUUAGGAUUAAAUAACUAAUUAAGUUCAAUGUCAUUCCUUUACACUGACCCUGACAUGAUUCCAAGAAUAAAAAAGUCUUAGAAAUCAGAGACAGUACUGACCGUUUAAGUCAUGUGACCAUUUACCCAAUCAAGGAAGUUAUCUGGGGAGUUCCUGUUACAGCUCAGCAGGUUAAGAAUCUGACUAGUGUCUAUGAGGAUGUGGGUUCAACCCUUGGCCUUGCUCAGUGGGUUAAGGAUCCAGCAUUGCCAUGAGCUGUGGUGUAGGUAGCAAAUGCUCCUUGGAUCAGUCAUUGCUGUGGCUGUGGCUGGCAGCUGUAGCUCCGAUUCAACCCCUAGUCUGAGAAUUUCCAUAUGCCACAAGUGCAGCUAUAAAAAGCAAGCAAGCAAGCACGCAAGCAAGCAAGCAAGGAAGAAAGGAAGGAAGGAAGGAAGCAAAGAAGGAAGGAAAGGAAGGAAGAAAGAAAGAUAGUUAUCUGUACAUGUUAGCCAUCAAUUCAUGAAAGCCAGUUUUAAAUAGCAAACUAUGGAGUAACAUUGGACAGAGUUGCCAAUUACAUAGACAUCAGGUACUAAAGUUACCAUAUUAGACAACAAACAAAAGUAGGCAGAAGUGCUCUUGAAAAUUUCACAAAUCUUCAACAAAUUAUAGACAAUGUUUUAUAUAUAAUCCUAUAUAUAAUUUCCAUCAAAUUUUUCUCAGUCAAUAUUUUUUGUUUGUUUUGCUUUAUUUUUAUAGUCCUCAAAAAUGUCAACAAUUGGUCAAAAAGUGGUUUUCUUAUCUUUGAAUGAUCAAACAACACUUUUCCAUAGAAUUAACUCUUUUGGACCUAUCUGCCUACAACAAGUGCACACUGAAUUGAAUGAAGUAUAGAACCACUAAUCCUAUUUAACUUGACAUUAAAUCAAUAAAGAUUUUUAAAUAGAAUCAUGAAUUUUAGUUGCAAUGAUAGCCUGAGGGGAAAAAGGGUUUAGUGGUUUAGUUUAGAGGCAUUUUGGGGUUCAUAUUCUCUGAUUCAGCACUCUAAAGUCAAGUAAUAGGAAAACUAUCACUUUUUUUGAAUAAUAACAUAAAUAUCUACUUUCUUUCAGUUCCCACUGUCACCUAAACACUAUGUUAAGCCCUCACAACAGCCUUUCAAGAUUAGGUUUUAAUAUCUCCAUUUUAUAGUUGAGCUUAGAAAAAUUAACUAAUUUUGUUCAAGGCUUUAAAGCAAAUAAAUUGUAGAAAGCAAUUUGAACCAGAAGGCUAAAGUUCAUGUUCUUCCCAUCUAUCUAUAAAAAGUCUAUCCUUUGAAAAUGGGAUUUGAAUUUCCUACUCUGACAAAUAAAUCUCCUGUUUUCAACAAAGGUGUCACUAGUCACAUAAAGUAAAUCAUCAUAUGAUUUAUCCUAGUACAUGAACCCAUUUAUAAAGAAGUAUUUCUCCUUUUUGCUGGCACUUUCUGGACAGUUGAACUCAUUCUGAAAACACUAAAUCUGCUGCGCUCUCCUUGCCCAGUGUCAUCAUUCUUCAGGCUGGGAAAUAAUCUUUGGUAAAGAUCUAGGCAAUGGUUCUAAAAGCCUGGUUACCAGCCAAGCGGUAUCUGUACCACCUGGGAACUUAUUAGAAAUACACAUUCUAGCAUUGAGAACUUUGUCUAGAUACUCAUAUUGCAACAGAAGAAAGGGUGGGGGGAAAAAUGUAAUUGUAAUGUAUACAUGUAAGAAUAACCUGACCCCCUUGCUGUACAGUGGGAAAAUUAAAAAAAAAAAAA
rnacentral:lncRNA from 1 species